ACGAAGCACUCUAUUUGAUUCCUUCGGGAUUGAAGAUUUUGUGACUGAGUGGCGGACGGGUGAGUAACGCGUGGGUAACCUGCCUCAUACAGGGGGAUAACAGUUGGAAACGACUGCUAAUACCGCAUAAGCGCACAGGAUCGCAUGAUCCGGUGCGAAAAACUCCGGUGGUAUGAGAUGGACCUGCGUCUGAUUAGCCAGUUGGCAGGGUAACGGCCUACCAAAGCGACGAUCAGUAGCCGACCUGAGAGGGUGACCGGCCACAUUGGGACUGAGACACGGCCCAAACUCCUACGGGAGGCAGCAGUGGGGAAUAUUGCACAAUGGGGGAAACCCUGAUGCAGCGACGCCGCGUGAGCGAAGAAGUAUUUCGGUAUGUAAAGCUCUAUCAGCAGGGAAGAAGAAUGACGGUACCUGACUAAGAAGCACCGGCUAAAUACGUGCCAGCAGCCGCGGUAAUACGUAUGGUGCAAGCGUUAUCCGGAUUUACUGGGUGUAAAGGGAGCGCAGGCGGUGCGGCAAGUCUGAUGUGAAAGCCCGGGGCUCAACCCCGGUACUGCAUUGGAAACUGUCGUACUAGAGUGUCGGAGGGGUAAGUGGAAUUCCUAGUGUAGCGGUGAAAUGCGUAGAUAUUAGGAGGAACACCAGUGGCGAAGGCGGCUUACUGGACGAUAACU
rnacentral:rRNA from 1 species